rnacentral:rRNA from 1 species
UGGGGAAUCUUCCGCAAUGGACGAAAGUCUGACGGAGCAACGCCGCGUGAGUGAAGAAGGUUUUCGGAUCGUAAAACUCUGUCUUUUGGGGCGAACGUGAGUAUGGUGAACAAUCAUAGUCAGUGACGGUACCAAAGGAGGAAGCCACGGCUAACUACGUGCCAGCAGCCGCGGUAAUACGUAGGUGGCAAGCGUUGUCCGGAAUUAUUGGGCGUAAAGAGCGCGUAGGCGGGAUAGUCAGUCUGUUGUAAAGUGCGGGGCUCAACCCCGUGAUCGCAAUGGAAACAGCUAUUCUUGAGUGCAGGAGAGGAAAGUGGAAUUCCCAGUGUAGCGGUGAAAUGCGUAGAUAUUGGGAGGAACACCAGUGGCGAAGGCGACUUUCUGGACUGUGUCUGACGCUGAGGCGCGAAAGCCAGGGGAGCGAACGGGAUUAGAUACCCCGGUAGUCCUGGCCGUAAACGAUGGGUACUAGGUGUGGGAGGUAUCGACCCCUUCCGUGCCGGAGUUAACGCAAUAAGUACCCCCGCCUGGGGAGUACGGUCGCAAGACUGAACUCAAAUGAAUUGACGGGGUCAUAGCUGUUUCCUG